AUGGUUGCCGCUAUGUUCAACUCCCCCUAUGCCCUCACCGUCCUCGCCUUCCUCCUCGCCGUCGCCGUCCUCGUCUCCUCCUCGAAGCGCGGCCGCAAUGCCGCCAGGCAUGGCGAGCUACGGCUGCCUCCGUCGCCGCCCGGCUUGCCGGUCGUCGGCCACCUCCACCUGCUCGGGAGCCUGCCGCACCGGAGCCUGCGUGCGCUGGCCGCGUCCUACGGCCCGGUCAUGCACCUGCGGCUCGGGCGCGUGCCCACCGUGGUGGCGUGCUCCGCGGCCGCGGCGGAGGAGGCCAUGAGGACCCGCGACCUCGACUUCGCCAGCCGCCCCAGGCUCCUCAUGGUCGACCGCUUCUACUACGGCAUCGGCUUCACGCCCUACGGCGAGCACUGGCGCCAGGCGCGCCGCGUCGCGUCCCUGGGGCACGUCCGCGCGCAGGAGGCCGCCGCGCUCGUGGACCGGGUCCGCCGACACGCCGGCGACGUCGUGAACCUCAGUGACAACCUCAUCGUUUACUCUAACACGGUUAUCUCGCGAUGCACGUUUGGCGACACGGACUACGUGGUCGAAGGCGGCGGCGCGAGGCUGAGGAAGGUGUUCGCCGAGAUUGAGGAGCUGCUGGGCACGGUGCCCAUGGGAGAGACGGUGCCGUGGCUGCGUUGGGUGGACGUCGUCACGGGGCUGGAGAAGAAGACGAGGCGGGUCUUUGAGGACAUGGACGGAUUGCUGGAGCGGGUCAUCACCGACCACCGCCAGCGCCGCCGCGCGGCUGCGGCCACCGGGGAGGAGGGAGACUUCGGCAUCAUCGUGGACAUGCUGGCCGCCGCCACGGGCUCCACCUUCACGCUGCUGGAAUGGGCCAUGGCGGAGCUCGACACGCGGCUGCUGGGGUACGACGUGCCGGCGGGCACCCGGGUCCUGAUCCACGCCUGGGCCAUCGGCCGCGACCCGGCGACGUGGGGGAGCCGCGCCGAGGAGUUCGCGCCGGAGAGGUUCCUCGGGUACGACGGCCUCAAGAUGGGGCAGGACUUCGCGUUCCUGCCCUUCGGCGCCGGCUGGAGGGGCUGCCCCGGCGUCGGGUUCGCUAUGCUGUCCAACGAGCUGGCGCUGGCGAGCCUCGUGUGUAGCUUCGACUGGGAGCUGCCCGGCGGGAGGAUGCCGCCGGUGGACAUGAGCGAGCUGCACGGCCUCUCCGUGCGUCUCAAGGCGCCUCUGCUUCUGGUUGCCAAACCUUGGUCGUCUGUGUCUGUGGAUGGAGUUGAGUGA
rnacentral:rRNA from 1 species